AGGCGUGCACUUGUCUUGAUGAGGAGAUUUAUUAGAAUAUUGAAAUGGACAUUUAAAAAAAGUAGUAGUAAAACAGCCUCAGUCAACAUCAGCACUUCAACAGAAAGAUGCAUUCUGCUAUCUUCUUAAGAACUUUAUCAACAUGUGAAUCUCCAUCAUUCCAUUCAGCAGCAAGACAAGUUGUGUAGAAACCUUUGGAAUCCUAUGUGAAGAAAAGCAUUCAGAGGAUCAUUAGAGACUCCAGCCACCCGAGCCAUGGGCUGUUCUCACUGCUACCAUCAGGUAGGCGGUAUCGCAGCAUCAGGACCUGCACCAGAUGACUCCAUGAUAGCUUCUUCCCCCAAGCAAUCAGACUUCUGAACUCUUGAUCUCCCACGAUCAAUACAUCAGCACUGCACUUUAUUACCCUUACUCUUAUAUCUCACACCGGACUGUCAUAAAUUAUAUUAUUAUUAUAUUAUAUUCUCUCUUAACAACUGACUAUCAACCGACAGCCUGAAUGUCAAUACAGUACAAUACUGCACAUUAUAUAUAUACUUUUUUUUAUAUAUUUUUAUUUUUUAUUUUUAUUGAAUAAUGUGUAUCUAUAUUGUGUGUAUUGUAUACUGUACAGUGUAUGUUAUUAUUUGUAUAUUGUUGAGUGUAAUUAUGUGUACAUCAGAUGUUUAAAUUGUGUUGUGUUAAUUUGAUGUUAUUGUAAAUUGGUACUGUCUCAUCACUGUCACGACUGCUAUGUUGAUCGGAACUG